ACGUGCGCCCGGCCACGCUUCCUGGAAGAGAUGCAUUGCGGAGCUCGCUAGUUGGGGCGUUGGCCUUCCUUAGGAGUGUGAGUCUAGCGUUAUCCCUUUUUUCCGGCUGGAUCCCGGGUUACCCCACCAGCCCGACCUCAACCCACUCACGUCCACAGCACGAGCCCCAGCGGCCUUGCGCGGUGCUUGCUCUCUAGUAGCGGCUGACUAGGACUUUGCGUGUGACCACUGCACCUCCAGGAAGGCCAGGUGCACAUCGCUUCCCAUGCGCCCGGCCUCAUGGCCUUUGGGGGUUGUCGUGUGGAAUGGAGAUGACACGAGUGCUGCAUGUGAGGUCAGUCAGGAUCUUUGAUUUUGGAGCACAAGCCUUCUGCGUGCUACUGACUGGGUCCUGGCCUCCCUCCUUCCAUGGCAUCGUCGUGAAUGGGAAUUUCCACCACUGCCUCCAUUAGUCAGAAGAUUGAACAUGUUGUAACUGUAGAAAGCCCGUCAUCCUUGUGUAUGCACUUGCUGAAAGAUCCACUGAAGAGCAACCUUCAUGAACAUUACCAGGGGACUUGUGCUCCUAUAAAACGCACUGUUUUCCUCACUGCGAGGUGGGUCUCUCACCGCGAUGGACUAUCUGUGAUCACAGAGCACUUCUUCCCUGGGCCUUCCCUGUCACACUGAUGGUGUGAGUAUGUAGGGCAGGGGUGGGAGUGAACAUGUUAAUCUCUUUUGAAUAAACUGAUUUUGAAGUAG
rnacentral:lncRNA from 1 species